rnacentral:rRNA from 1 species
GACAGAGGUGCCGAGCGUUAGGCGGAAUCACUGGGCUUAAAGCGUGUGUAGGCGGACGGGUAAGUACCUUGUGAAAUCCCACGGCUCAACCGUGGAACUGCUGGGUAUACUGCCUGUCUUGAGUCAUCUAGGGGCGAGCGGAACAAAUGGUGGAGCGGUGAAAUGCGUAGAUAUCAUUUGGAACGCCAAUGGUGAAAACAGCUCGCUGGGGAUGUACUGACGCUGGAGAACACGAAAGCCAGGGGAGCAAACGGG